rnacentral:rRNA from 1 species
GACGAACGCUGGCGGCGUGCCUAACACAUGCAAGUCGAGCGAAUGAAGUUCCUUCGGGACUGGAUUUAGCGGCGGACGGGUGAGUAACACGUGGGCAACCUGCCUCAUAGAGGGGAAUAGCCUUCCGAAAGGGAGAUUAAUACCGCAUAAGAUUGUAGUAUCGCAUGAUACAGCAAUUAAAGGAGCAAUCCGCUAUGAGAUGGGCCCGCGGCGCAUUAGCUAGUUGGUGAGGUAACGGCUCACCAAGGCGACGAUGCGUAGCCGACCUGAGAGGGUGAUCGGCCACAUUGGGACUGGGACACGGCCCAGACUCCUACGGGAGGCAGCAGUGGGGAAUAUUGCACAAUGGGGGAAACCCUGAUGCAGCAACGCCGCGUGAGUGAUGACGGCCUUCGGGUUGUAAAGCUCUGUCUUCAGGGACGAUAAUGACGGUACCUGAGGAGGAAGCCACGGCUAACUACGUG